GUAGGUGGCAAGCGUUGUCCGGAAUUAUUGGGCGUAAAGCGCGCGCAGGCGGUCCUUUAAGUCUGAUGUGAAAGCCCACGGCUCAACCGUGGAGGGUCAUUGGAAACUGGGGGACUUGAGUACAGAAGAGGAGAGCGGAAUUCCAAGUGUAGCGGUGAAAUGCGUAGAGAUUUGGAGGAACACCAGUGGCGAAGGCGGCUUUCUGGUCUGUAACUGACGCUGAGGCGCGAAAGCGUGGGGGGCAAACAGGAUUAGAUACCCUGGUAGUCCACGCCGUAAACGAUGAGUGCUAAGUGUUAGGGGGUUUCCCGCCCCCUUAGUGCUGCAGCUAACGCAUUAAGCACUCCGCCUGGGGAGUACGGCCGCAAGGCUG
rnacentral:rRNA from 1 species